GUGGGGAAUCUUGCGCAAUGGGCGAAAGCCUGACGCAGCCAUGCCGCGUGAAUGAUGAAGGUCUUAGGAUUGUAAAAUUCUUUCACCGGGGACGAUAAUGACGGUACCCGGAGAAGAAGCCCCGGCUAACUUCGUGCCAGCAGCCGCGGUAAUACGAAGGGGGCUAGCGUUGCUCGGAAUUACUGGGCGUAAAGGGCGCGUAGGCGGACAGUUUAGUCAGAGGUGAAAGCCCAGGGCUCAACCUUGGAAUGGCCUUUGAUACUGGCUGGCUGGAGUACGGGAGAGGUGAGUGGAACUCCGAGUGUAGAGGUGAAAUUCGUAGAUAUUCGGAAGAACACCAGUGGCGAAGGCGACUCACUGGCCCGUUACUGACGCUGAGGCGCGAAAGCGUGGGGAGCAAACAGGAUUAGAUACCCCUGUAGUCC
rnacentral:rRNA from 1 species